UACUGCCUGAGUUCAGGGAUAGUGAUU
rnacentral:piRNA from 1 species